GACGAACGCUGGCGGCGUGCUUAACACAUGCAAGUCGAACGGAAAGGCCCUGCUUUUGUGGGGUGCUCGAGUGGCGAACGGGUGAGUAACACGUGAGUAACCUGCCCUUGACUUUGGGAUAACUUCAGGAAACUAGGGCUAAUACCGGAUAGGAGCUCCUGCUGCAUGGUGGGGGUUGGAAAGUUUCGGCGGUUGGGGAUGGACUCGCGGCUUAUCAGCUUGUUGGUGGGGUAGCGGCUUACCAAGGCUUUGACGGGUAGCCGGCCUGAGAGGGUGACCGGCCACAUUGGGACUGAGAUACGGCCCAGACUCCUACGGGAGGCAGCAGUGGGGAAUAUUGCACAAUGGGCGGAAGCCUGAUGCAGCAACGCCGCGUGCGGGAUGACGGCCUUCGGGUUGUAAACCGCUUUCGCCUGUGACGAAGCGUGAGUGACGGUAAUGGGUAAAGAAGCACCGGCUAACUACGUG
rnacentral:rRNA from 1 species